rnacentral:misc_RNA from 1 species
UGUUUAAUACUUUAAUUUCUUAUUCAAUGAUUCAACAACUCAUUAUUAUUUAUUUUGUUACUUAUGCUAUGAAUUUCAAUUUUACAACCUCAUUUUGAUCUUAUACUUAUGUUGGAAAUGCAAGUAGGCACUCUUUUCAAUUUCUCUUAUAUUACAUAUAGACAUAGUGCAAACAAUAUGUUUUUCUUUUCUUUUUAAUAUACUUUUUACUCAUUACACUAGCUAAAAGUAUGAAAUUUUAUGUUAGAAGCACACACACAUAUCUAUAUAUAAUUGGGCAAUUUAGGCUCUGACACCUUACUUCAAAAAGACCAUCGUCUCGCCUCUCGCCUAAGGCCAUAAGGCCCCCUAUCGCCUUAGCGUCGCCUUUCGCCUUGAUAACACUAAUUUCUUACAUAAUUAUUGGUUAGUUCCAUCAUAACUAUUUUCUUCUAUUGCAUUUAAGUUAAUAGUAGGAUUAAUAACAAUUGAAAAGUAUAUUAUAUACAAAUGACUUAAUUGCUAAAGUUUAAACUAAUGUCAAAGUUUAGGAUCAAAUUAAAAGUUUUGGCUAAAAUUGAAAAUGUAAGUAAAGGUUUCAAUUUUUUUUUUUUUUUUAUCAUCUUGUUUUUUUUCUUUCUUGCAAUCCCAUGUUGAUAAUGGUGUGUAGACUUGCCCAAUGGUGUGCUGAGAUUGAUGAUUGAGGUGACUAGUUGAGACUUUAAUGUCCUAUGAGAAUUAAUACUUGCUCAUUUGUGUGUAUAAGCUGUCGCCACUGCUAUAAAUGGAGCUUAUGUAGGUAAAUUGGACCAAUGAUAUGUGAAGUGUGUAUCUGAUGUUGAAAUGAACAGAGUUUUUAUGAACUGAAAUUUGAAAAUGUACUUGUCUAUGUCUUACGCUAUCUUCCUGUGAUGGUUUUCAUGAGCUUUGCCCUAUGUGUAAUGUUAAGGUAGUUCCAAGAGAUUGUAUAGUGAACAUUAUAGUGAUCUUGUCAAGUUAAAGUUUUGCCUAUAGUGAGAGCUAUAAUAAUUUUGGGAAAACUGCAAUUGGAUUAAAAUUAGCCUCAAAGGAAAUUUUCUUUCAAAAUUUCAAUUUUAAAAUGCUAUUUUCCCUUUUUUUGGAUUUGAAGUAGAGUACUUCUUUAAAUACUUCCUAAAAUUUCCAUUUUAAAAUAUAACCUUUUCUUGUUUUAGAUUUGAAGGAGAGUCAUUUGCAUCAUUCCUAAAAUAUAAGCUUUCCUUUUUUGGUUCAAGGAGAGUACUUCUUUGAACCUUUUUAAAAUUUUAAUUUGUUAAAACACUACCUCUUCAUCCUUCCUGGAACUUUUUUUUUAGGCUAAUUGGACAAAAAACACCGAACCAUUUUGUUAAUUUGCGAAUUUAUUCUAACGUUUUAAUUUUGGUUUUGGUAUUCUAACAUUUUAUUUUAGGUGCAAUUGUAUCCUAUCUCCAAAAUCAAAUGCUGACAUAGCAAAUUUGUAUACAUGGGAUCCAUUGUGGCAUUUCUUUAUAAUUUUUAAAUUUUUUUAUUUACCACAUUAUACCCUAACCUUAACCAUGAGUCAAAAAUUUAACUCUAACUUAACCCAACCCUUAAAUAACCUAUUAAUCACUCCAGCAACAUAUUCAUCUUUUCCCUCUAAUUCUUCCUUCUGAUCGCGUUGUGGAUGGCAUCAAACCAAAGUUCAUCAUUGACUGCAAGUAAUCAAACCAAAGUUCAUCAUCGACUGCAAGUAACAGUAGUGGAGUAUUCUGUCCCGUUCACCAUUUGCAUGCCCACAUCCUUACUUCGUACACACGGAAAAAUCCUAGAAGAAGGUUUUAUUGAUGUCCUUUAAGGAAGAUAAUGGAUUGAGAUUAUAUAGGGCAUACUUUUAAUUGGUUUGAUUAUGGGAAAUUUGUAUUGAAGAAAUUUGUUUGAUUUUGGCAUUUUCAUUAUGGGUUUUAUAAGUUGUGUUUUGAACUCAAUAUGAUUGAAUUUGAUUGUAUUUUAACUUUGAUUAUAUGAAUUUCUUUGAGUUUUGAUUAUGGUUACUUCCAUUCCUCAUGUGAUGUAGAUGAAUAACUGCAAAUUUUUUGUAUGGUUGGAUGAUGAGCUAAGACAUGGUGCUAGAGAAAUGGCUAUUUUUGAUGUCAUUUUUAAUAAAAUUGAGACUUUGGAAGCAGUUAUUGCAUAUAAAGAUGAUAAUGAGUUUUCUGUGGAAAACAAAUUAAAGAUUGCUGAAGAUAAGUUGGUCCAGAGGGCAAAAAAAAUCAAUAAGUUGAAAGAAGAAAGUUUGAUGCUACUUGAGAGAAUCCACAAAUUGCAAUAUGAGAAAUGAGAUAGCGAUGUUUGUGAUAGGAAAACUAGGUUUAUUUGUGUAACUAUAUAUUAUUUGUUUCUCUAUGUAGUGUU